UACGUAGGGUGCAAGCGUUGUCCGGAAUUAUUGGGCGUAAAGAGCUUGUAGGCGGUUUGUCGCGUCUGCUGUGAAAUUUCGGGGCUCAACCCCGAACUUGCAGUGGGUACGGGCAGACUAGAGUGUGGUAGGGGAGACUGGAAUUCCUGGUGUAGCGGUGAAAUGCGCAGAUAUCGGGAGGAACACCUGUGGCGAAGGCGGCCAUCUGGACGGUAACUGACGCUGAGACGCGAAAGCGUGGGUAGCAAACAGG
rnacentral:rRNA from 1 species